CUCAGUAACGGCGAGUGAAGCGGUAACAGCUCAAAUUUGAAAUCUGGCUCUUUCAGGGUCCGAGUUGUAAUUUGCAGAAGAUGCUUUGGGUGUGGCUCCAGUCUAAGUUCCUUGGAACAGGACGUCAUAGAGGGUGAGAAUCCCGUAUGUGAUUGGUGGCCUUCGCCCGUGUAAAGCUCUUUCGACGAGUCGAGUUGUUUGGGAAUGCAGCUCAAAAUGGGUGGUAAAUUUCAUCUAAAGCUAAAUAUUGGCCAGAGACCGAUAGCGCACAAGUAGAGUGAUCGAAAGAUGAAAAGCACUUUGGAAAGAGAGUUAAACAGUACGUGAAAUUGUUGAAAGGGAAGCGUUGGCAACCAGACUCGUAUGCCGCUAAUCAUCCGGGGUUCUCCCCGGUGCACUUGGUGGUUUUCGGGCCAGCAUCGGUUUCGGUGGUGGGAUAAAGGCCUUGGGAAUGUAGCUCCUUUCGGGGAGUGUUAUAGCCCUCGGUGCAAUGCCGCCUACCGGGACCGAGGACCGCGCUCGGCUAGGAUGC
rnacentral:rRNA from 2 species